CCCCAGGCAUUAGCAACCAAUAGGCUUUAGUCCAGCCCCCUAGUAUAUAAGGGGCUGUAGUCUGUCAGUUAGCUCUCUUGUCUCUUAUCUCUUGGACUCAAAAGAAAGCACAAAGUCCUGUAUACUGCAAAUUCAUCUCAUCUAGGCCAAAGCCUAAAGUCCAGCAGCCACUUCUACAACCCUGAAAUGGACGCUUGCGCAUAAAAUGCCUCUGGACUGCAUCUGGCCUGGCGGCCACUUUGUUCCUCAAGCCUGACAGAACCUUACGUCGAGGACGACAUAUGUUAAGCAAGGGAGUUUGUGAUGUCCCAGUACAGACAGGUCUUUGCUGAGGCAGCAACCACCAGAGAACUCAGGGUAAGUGAUGAGCAUCUGGAGGCCACAAAAGC